rnacentral:rRNA from 1 species
GCUCAGGAUGAACGCUGGCGGCGUGCCUAACACAUGCAAGUCGAACGAAGCACUUUUACAGAUUUCUUCGGAAUGAAGUUUUAGUGACUGAGUGGCGGACGGGUGAGUAACGCGUGGGUAACCUGCCUCACACAGGGGGAUAACAGUUGGAAACGGCUGCUAAUACCGCAUAAGCGCACAGUACCGCAUGGUACAGUGUGAAAAACUCCGGUGGUGUGAGAUGGACCCGCGUCUGAUUAGAUAGUUGGUGGGGUAACGGCCUACCAAGUCGACGAUCAGUAGCCGGACUGAGAGGUUGAACGGCCACAUUGGGACUGAGAUACGGCCCAGACUCCUACGGGAGGCAGCAGUCGGGAAUAUUGCGCAAUGGAGGAAACUCUGACGCAGUGACGCCGCGUAUAGGAAGAAGGUUUUCGGAUUGUAAACUAUUGUCGUUAGGGAAGAUAAAAGACAGUACCUAAGGAGGAAGCUCCGGCUAACUACGUGCCAGCAGCCGCGGUAAUACGUAGGGAGCAAGCGUUAUCCGGAUUUAUUGGGUGUAAAGGGUGCGUAGACGGGAAAUUAAGUUAGUUGUGAAAUCCCUCGGCUCAACUGAGGAACUGCAACUAAAACUGAUUUUCUUGAGUGUUGGAGAGGAAAGUGGAAUUCCUAGUGUAGCGGUGAAAUGCGUAGAUAUUAGGAGGAACACCAGUGGCGAAGGCGACUUUCUAGACAAUAACUGACGUUGAGGCACGAAAGUGUGGGGAGCAAACAGGAUUAGAUACCCUGGUAGUCCACACCGUAAACGAUGGAUACUAGGUGUAGGAAGCGAUUAUGUUUUCUGUGCCGUCGCAAACGCAGUAAGUAUCCCACCUGAGGAGUACGGCCGCAAGGUUGAAACUCAAAGGAAUUGACGGGGGCCCGCACAAGCAGUGGAGUAUGUGGUUUAAUUCGAAGCAACGCGAAGAACCUUACCAGGGCUUGACAUAUACAGGAAUAUGUUAGAGAUAGCAUAGCUCUUCGGAGUCUGUAUACAGGUGGUGCGUGGUUGUCGUCAGCUCGUGUCGUGAGAUGUUGGGUUAAGUCCCGCAACGAGCGCAACCCCUGUUUCUAGUUGCCAGCACGUAAAGGUGGGAACUCUAGAGAGACUGCCGGUGAUAAAUCGGAGGAAGGUGGGGACGACGUCAAAUCAUCAUGCCCUAUAUGUCCUGGGCUACACACGUACUACAAUGGCUGUAACAGAGGGAAGCAACAUAGAGAUGUGAAGCAAAUCCCAAAAAGCAGUCUCAGUUCGGAUUGAAGGCUGAAAUUCGCCUUCAUGAAGCCGGAAUUGCUAGUAAUGGCAGGUCAGCAUACUGCCGUGAAUACGUUCCCGGGCCUUGUACACACCGCCCGUCACACCAUGAGAGUCGGGAAUACCCGAAGCCUGUGAGCCAACAUAUUUAUAUGAGGCAGCAGUCGAAGGUAGAAUCGAUGAUUG